CAGGUGCAUGCCUCUAGCAUGAAGUCAGA
rnacentral:rRNA from 1 species